UACUAUAAGACUGGGAUAACUUCGGGAAACCGGAGCUAAUACCGGAUAAUAUUUUGAACCGCAUGGUUCAAAAGUGAAAGACGGUCUUGCUGUCACUUAUAGAUGGAUCCGCGCUGCAUUAGCUAGUUGGUAAGGUAACGGCUUACCAAGGCAACGAUGCAUAGCCGACCUGAGAGGGUGAUCGGCCACACUGGGACUGAGACACGGUCCAG
rnacentral:rRNA from 1 species